rnacentral:lncRNA from 1 species
CAUAGUAGUCACACAAAGCCUCUAACUAAAAUCCAAGAACAUUCAACGGGACAUGCCCCCGACCAUAGCCAAAACCAAAGUCUAGGAAAUAAUAAAAAGUAUGAAAAUAAGUCCAUAGCAUGAAAUGGAGUCUUUCGGAGUAUGGAAGCUCACCACUUCAGUCUGACACGAAUGCUAUCCUCGAAUCCAAGUCACUGAGCAGGAGAAGUA